AACGCACCUUGCACCUUUUGGCAUUCCGAAAGGUACAUCUGUUUGAGUGUCAUGAAUCCCUCAACCUCUACGUUUCCUUGUGAGAUGUACAGCGUUGGAUGCUGAGCGCUGCUGUCCUCACCGACAGCUCGCUUCAAAUGGAUCAGCAAUCUCGAUAGUGACUCGGAUUGACCCGACGUGAUAAGAUCUUCGUCGGGGAUGCUUUCAUUAGCAGCCGGUCGUCUACCAGAGUAGCUUCUAAACACGCUCGCAAGCACCUUCGGGUGUCUGUGACAAACCCUUUACAUUUAGACCUCAAAUCAGAUGGGACUACCCGCUGAACUUAA
rnacentral:misc_RNA from 1 species